rnacentral:tRNA from 1 species
CACCUGAUGACUGAAAUAUAAGUAUAGAUCUUUUAAAUCUAUUAUAGUAAAAUUACUUCAGGUGA